rnacentral:lncRNA from 1 species
GCAAAUAUAAUUCCAGCGUUAAACCCAACAAACAUGCAUGUCCAAAAUUGCAUCUCUGCAUCACCCCAACAUCUAAUUAAUCUCGGUGUAAUUGAAAAAGUUCUAUCAAACUCAUGUAGACCUGCAUCUAUCUGUACAGGAAACUAUGAGGAUAAUGGGCGAUACUGGGCAACGAGAACAGGCAGGCAGGAAUACAUUUAACAAUCCACUCAAGUAAUCAAUGCCAUC